CGGAUGACAAAGUUUACACGAGUGUUAGCCAAUACUAUCAUGACUAAAUUGACGUUCAACGGACCACAACAUUAAGAAUCGCAAUUCUUGAUGUUGAUCAAAUUGAGCGCGGCCGCUGGGGACGAGAAUGCAUCGACUGACACCUGGCUCGUCCUCAGUCGUCUUUAUAUAGCACACAGUUUCAGUUUUCAGUUUCAGUUUCAGUUUCACACGGCAGCGCGCGCUGUAUCUCUCCUGUAUGAAGACGAUUGGGGACGAGUCAGGACUGACACUACUAUAUGUUUGACUCUGAAGAUGAUUUUCGCUCAGGUUGUCGAAACGUCAACAAUUCUUUUUUAGAACUACCGCCACCCGGACAAUUACACUCUACGCCCUUUCUACUCUCCAUUUUGGGUAGUUGGUAAAGUCAGGUGACAUGAUUUACGCACAAAGACGUCGUCUGGCUUAAAGUUGAAGCGACAUAGUGGGACGUUUGGCUAAUUUUGGGAUGUGAAAGGGAAAAUAGAAAAUGGCAUUGGUUGUUAAAAACUUGUAGAAAAGGAGCUGAUUCAAAGCUACCAUAAAUUUUGACUUCCUCUUUCCACACCUACAACUCAUGCUAGUGCAAUGAUAAUCAAAGAAUUAUGAGGGACAGUGCUGACAAUGUUGACCUCUUUGAAGAAGAUUCAAAAGAAUUUUGUGAAGUGUUGACAUCGAAUCAUGAGUUGGUUUCAGUGGACUUUAUCAAAUGAAGCUACCUAUGACUGUGUCUUGCAUGCAUUGCUGUGUUCGUAAAUUCCAUGUUGGUGGUGAAUACAAAGGAAAUGAGACUCACUUGAUGAUUACAGAGGGAAGUAAUACUUAUCAUAGAAAAUAAACAUAACAUUUCGUUUAUUUA